rnacentral:rRNA from 1 species
CACGGGGGGAGCAAGCGUUGUUCGGAAUCACUGGGCGUAAAGGGCGUGUAGGCGGUCAGGUAAGUGGGACGUGGAAUGCCUCGGCUCACCCGAGGAGCGGCGUCCCAAACUGCUUGGCUUGAGUAUGGGAGAGGAUGUGGGAAUUCCUGGUGUAGCGGUGAAAUGCGUAGAUAUCAGGAGGAACACCGGUGGCGAAGGCGCACAUCUGGCCCAUUACUGACGCUGAGGCGCGAAAGCUAGGGGAGCAAACGGG